UUUAUCAGCUCCGCUACGAGUCUCUUUGUUAUCUCAAUUUGCAACAUUAAAACCCACGUUUAACAAAGGCCAAGAUUUAAAUACAAUGCCGUUAUCUAUUAAAAGUUGAUUUAAAUUGUUGAAUAUUUGAAAAUCAUUUGUCCCUUGAAUUCUAACAAUUCCCUUGUCAAAUUUCAUUAAUUUCUACUUCGGAAGCCAGAUCUUCAUUCUCACUGUUAAAUUUAGAUUAAAAUAAUUGUAAGGCAAAUGAAGACAUUAAAACUAAAUAAUGACAAAUGAAUUAAAUACCUGCAACUGAAUUCUUUAUUUGAGCGUCUUUUUAGAGAAAAAAAAUAGUCAAGACGUAAACAAAUAUUUUCCUUACACCAAAAAAAAGAAAAAUUACAAAAAUGAACGGUAUUUAUCUUUAUAUAAAUAAGAAGAAGAAGAAGAAGAAGAAGAAGAAGAAGAAGAAGAAGAAGAAGAAGAAGAAGAAGAAGAAGAAGAAGAAGACAAUCAGGAACCUGAUGAAAAUGAAGUGUACUCAGAUGCAUCAGCAGAUAAUGAGAUCCAACAAUCUGGCUUGCCUCCCCGAAAUCCAGAAUUAGAAAGCGAUUCAAAAAGAGAUGAGAGUAAUGAAGAAAUAACAAGUAAAUAAGAUGACCAAAAAGACAAGCAACUGAUGAUUGAUUGUUACAACGCAUAAAUUGGAGGAUCAAGGACCUCUGUAUAUCUUAAAGACUCUAGUAAUAAUAACGUCAUGCAGAUGCACAGUUUGUUUCUACCCUUUAUUUUAUAGCCGGUUUAUUCCAAUUAUUAACAUUUUAUAUUUAAAUGUGAAUCCUAUAAUCAUUUUAAUAUCGUUUUAUGUGUAUCCUUUACAAAAACAGCUAUGUUGAUAAUUGUAUUGUUUAAGAAUAUGUUUUCUUUAGUAUAACCAACCAUUAUAUCUUAUCAUCUGUUUGCUUUUUUUUUUUUUUUUUUAUUUGACUAUCAAUGUCGAUUCAUUUUUAUUGAAAUAGAAUAUUGCCAUGAUAAAUAUUUUGGUAAAUAAUGAAUGACAUCUAGCUUUUCUUUUGAUUUUCCUGCAUUGCAUUUUUAAAUCACCUGACUGACUGUCAUCGUCUUCGUCGUUGUCCGUCUUCGUCCGUUAACUUUUACAAAACAUCUUCUCCUCUUGAACUACUCUGUCAAUUCGAACAUAUAACUUCUUUUUGUCAUUGUUUCUAUUUUCUGGCAAUUGCUCUUUCAAUGCGUCUAUAUGAUUACUUUUUAUGUAGUAAGAAAAUGCUACACGAACGCUCUCACCAGGUAUUUUGGAGGAUCAAAUUAUCUCUUUUCUGCGGUCCUAAAAGGGAUCCUUUAUCAAUUCUUACAAAAUCGAGCCUCUGGAUUGAAUCUGAUAUUUUCUUUUUGUAACAAUUCGAUAUUUUAUAAACUUUUUGACAGAUGUCUUAUUUAAAAGUUUAUAAGUUCUUUUGGUGCAUUGUUCAAAGUUGCAGACGCCAUAAGAUCAAGAUAAAUGUGUGUGCCAUAAGGUUAAUAAAGCAAUCUUCGAAGGUACUCUGAUAAUUCUUUAGUACACCACAUUGUAUGUGGAUCAAAUUUAAAGAAUCGAUCAUGUUAAUGAAGUUGUAGGUUCAAAUCAGUCAAGAUUUUACUUCGUCAAAAUUAUCUCCCCAUUACGCCAGUCAAAUUUUACAAUCGUAAAUAUGGAAACCAUUAAAUUUAGCUCCUACAAACCGAUAAAUUUAUCCACAUAGCACCAUAACGUUCCUUAUAUGCCAGUUGUAUUUUAUCUACUAGCUAUUGAGCAUCAUUUAAUGUACUUUUCUGCAUUCAGUCAACUUAAAACUAUUGUCUGGUAAGUUGUCAGGUGGAAUUUUCGAAAGUUCAAAAACGUUUAUAAAAAUUAUAAUUAAAUAUUUCGUGGAAGGGCAGACUAAAACUAAUCAGAGGUUGAAGACUAAUAACCGUAGAUAACAUACACAAAAAUGACGUUUUUCUGAAGUUAUACAUUUUUAAGAUACCUACUCUGUAUUUAUGACUCAUUAGAAAGGUAUUCACUUGACCCAUAUAUUUCAUUUUUUCAGUACUGUGAAUUUUCAAUGUUAUCAAAUCAACUGGUAGCCUAAAUACAUAAAAAUAAUAGAAUCUAAAGCGCGGUGAUGUAUCAAAUAUUUUUUGCUUUAUCCGUUUUCAAGACAGAGUAGUCAACUCAAACACGCCCGAACAUAAAAAGGUGCACUCGACUAUCUCUUUUCCAUGCAAUUAUUGCCCAUUUUGGGGAUUUUUUCCCAAAAAACUAUCGCCGGGGGCAGAGAUGCAAAUCAAUGCUUUAGAAAGAUCAAUCUAUUAUCUUUCUGUGGAUUUUUUUUCGGCGGAAUUUAUGCUUAUGCACAAAAAAGAUCCAUUAGGAUUUGACCCUGCCACAAUCGACUGUUUUAUGAAUUUCGAACAGCGGUAUACUACUGUUGCCUUUAUUUAUGCAAAUGUGUCUAUAAUUUAAAAGUUUACAACUAUCUCGAAGCUCCAUACUAUAAUUCAAGUAAAAACACGUAUAUAAGAUGCAUAAAAUCCUAAAUUAAGCACCUUUAUUAAACUUUUAAAGCCCAUAGAAACCGAUGUAAAUAAUUCAAAUAUACCAAUGUUGCUUGUUUACCUUCUCUAACAAAGAGUUAUAUUUCUUUUGUUUAAUUUCAACUGGGUUUCCGCCUGAAAUAAUAAUGUGCAAAUACAAAACUAUGUACUAUAGUAAGUACUUUUGUCGAUUUAUAAUUUGUUCUACAUUCUUGGUUAAAAUGAUUUAACCAAUCAAACGACUGCGAAAAUAUCUUUGUGUGUUCUUAACUGGGAGUACAAUUUCAUUAAUAAACUUACAAACAAGAUGUGAAUCAAUAGCUCAAGAGAUAACUAUCUACCAAACUGUUGUAUUAUAUAUUUUCAGUCAAAUGCACAAACGAAAUUUUGUAUUGAAUGCGCCCAUUUUUAUGUUCAAAUACCGAUGUUGCGAUCAUUAAUGUGUCAUUAACUAAAGUUCUGAAUACCAAAGUUAAAAUUUGAUGGAUUUGAAUCUUAUUAAUCAAAAUAGAUAUAAAUAUAUAUAGAAAAUUUGACACAGGCAAAAUGUUCAGAAUAUUUAAAUCUAAAGAUCUAAAAAUCCACAUACUUUCUAUUUUUCCCGAAAAUAUUCAGAUUUCUCCUUAUAGAAAUUUUAAAUAUCGAUCGACUCAUUAUGGUAAUUUUCCCUUAAUGUCGAUAUUCUUAUCCACUUUAAAAAUUCUGGCAAUUUUCUUUAUACCUAUAAAAAGAGUGACUGGAAAAUUUAUAGAUGGUAAGCAAAUCUAUAGUUUUCCCAUUAAAUGAUUUUUUUUAAUGAAAACGAUCAGAAAAAGCGGCACAUGGCAGAACGCGUCAAUCUACUCCUUAUACGAGUUCUGCCAUGUUUUAAAAGUCUAAAGCAAUUUUUGUGGUUUUUGGGGUUUAAUAUUUCCUUCAAAACUACAAUAUCCAAAGGGAUACUCUAUUAGAUCAAUUAUUUUUUUUAAUUAACCAUUAUUGUGUUAAAAGUUUAAUGACUAGUUAGUUUGUUUGUUUGUCAAGUUAUGUAUAAUUUAAUUGUAAUAUAUAUAGUUUGCCCUUCAAUGGGUAACGUAUUGACAAAUAAAAUUAUCUCUCUCUGUCUUA